rnacentral:lncRNA from 1 species
CAAAUGCAGAAGAACUCAGUUGGCUGCCCCUAGCUCCAAGGCAGCCUGACAGAGAACAGGCUUGUCAUAAUGGGCCAGAUGAGUUGUGAUUCAUUGCUUGGGUACAGAAGAACUCUGAACAAGAUCAAGGUUCUAUCAGUGAUAAAUAAGGGAGGCUAAGUUAUUUACACUACCUACUUUCUAAUCUGCCUCAUCUACUCACCUUCCUCUUUCUCUUCCUGUAAUCUUAUUGCAUGGAAGAAAUUUUUGGUGAAGACAAGUUGUCUGUUUUUCUUAAAAUCAUUUUUUUAGCUAGUGGUAUGUCUCGAACACUUUCCUAAUAGUUCAUUGAGAUAAAGUCAUAACAUUUUUUUUUUCUUUCUUCGCUACCCUCACUCAUUGCCCCAUUGGAAUUGACUGCAAAUUGCAAUUUUCUAGAGAAAGAAUCAGUAAUCCUUUCUACACAGUGGCCUUGGUGAUUUCAAAACUUUAAGAAUAUUUAAAAUAUUCAAGUUCUUUCUCCAAAAACUGGUGACUUUCUGCUGCUGAGCUCCUGAAAGUUUUUGAGAAGAAAGUUGAAAGAGUAAAGAAGUAUAACUUGACAUUUCUUCUGCAAGAAAAAAACAAGAAGAUGGUGACUUUCAAGACCUCAGUCAAUGACUAAAGUUCUGUGACCACAGUGAGCAUAUUACUGCGGUAACCAGGGCAGUAAUGUCAAGACAAAGGUCAGGGUUGGCUUUAAGAAAGAAGCCUGAGAACCGGAACUACAUAGAGGCCAGAAAAUCAGUGUCUACAUGCUAAAGGCAAUUUUCAGGAACAAGUACCAGGAGCAGAUCAACAAAACAAAGAAGAUCAACAAAACAAAUAAGGAAGGUGGUUUUAUGAACCCAGAGGGGCAGUGGUUAUGAGUUGUGGUGCCACUUUAUUCAACCUUAUCUGCUUGGAAGUUUUUCUCCUACACCAUUAAACCCCUCACUGAACCAAACUUUGUACAGACUGCAGCCAAGAAGGGCUGUAUUAUGGCUUUCUUGGACCUCUUCAUCCACAAAAAUAUUAAAAAUUGUAGAUAAAAUUCUUACAUGAAAGCCAGAAACACAGGAAUCUCAUCUUCUAAAUAUUUUCUUUAUCCUAAGAAAACACAAAAAAAGUGAAUAGAGUUAAGUGUAGACUAGCAGCGCCAGCACAAGUAUCACCUGGGACCAAGUUAGAAAUGCAAAAUUUUGGCUCCCACUGCAGACCUACUCUGGAGAUC